AUUGUAUCACAGUCAUACAAGAUUAUGUUGAGAGAAAACACAUAUAAUUGUUAUAGAUAUUUACUGUCCCUUUAAGGAGGAUAGCAUGCCAACUUGCCUCAAUGACCAGUCUUCCAAUUUAGAUUAUAUACCUGUAGAACUUGCCAAUGAUUGGAAAUAUAUAUGUGUUAACCUGAGAAGUUUUUGUCAAAGACUUAAGUUCUGGGUGUAUACAAAAACACAAUAGGAGUGGUUCUGCUAGGACAAAUAAGAAGAAAGGCACAACAUAGUGCCUAAAUGUGUUGGUUAACAAUUAAUGUUUGAAA